AAUUUCGAAGCAACGCGAAGAACCUUACCAGGGCUUGACAUCCCUUGAAGCAGCUAGAGAUAGCUGUGUCCUUCGGGACAAGGAGACAGGUGGUGCAUGGUUGUCGUCAGCUCGUGUCGUGAGAUGUUGGGUUAAGUCCCGCAACGAGCGCAACCCUUGUCCUUUGUUGCCAGCAGGUGAAGCUGGGCACUCAAAGGAGACUGCCGGAGACAAUUCGGAGGAAGGUGGGGAUGAUGUCAAAUCAUCAUGCCCUUUAUGCCCUGGGCUACACACGUGCUACAAUGGCCUGUACAACGGGAUGCGAAGGGGCGACCCGGAGCGAAUCCUCAGAAAACAGGUCUCAGUUCGGAUUGCAGGCUGCAACCCGCCUGCAUGAAGCUGGAAUUGCUAGUAAUCGCGGAUCAGCAUGCCGCGGUGAAUACGUUCCCGGGCCUU
rnacentral:rRNA from 1 species